rnacentral:rRNA from 1 species
GUAACACGUAUGCAACCUGCCCCAAACAGGGGGAUAGCCUCUCGAAAGAGAGAUUAAUACCCCAUAAUAAUGUUGUUAGUCAUCUAAUGAUAUUUAAAGCUGAGGCGGUUUGGGAUGGGCAUGCGGUUGAUUAGGUAGUUGGUGAGGUAAUGGCUCACCAAGCCAACGAUCAAUAGGGGGUCUGAGAGGAUGUCCCCCCACACUGGUACUGAGACACGGACCAGACUCCUACGGGAGGCAGCAGUAGGGAAUAUUGGACAAUGGGGGCAACCCUGAUCCAGCCAUGCCGCGUGCAGGAAGACUGCCCUAUGGGUUGUAAACUGCUUUUGUACGGGAAGAAACCUCACUACGAGUAGUGAGUUGACGGUACCGUGAGAAUAAGGAUCGGCUAACUUCGUGCCAGCAGCCGCGGUAAUACGAAGGAUCCAAGCGUUGUCCGGAUUUACUGGGUUUAAAGGGUGCGUAGGCGGGCUAUUAAGUCAGUGGUGAAAGCCGAUCGCUUAACGAUCGAACUGCCAUUGAAACUGAUAGUCUUGAGUAUGUUUGAGGUUACUGGAAUAUAACAUGUAGCGGUGAAAUGCUUAGAUAUGUUAUAGAACACCAAUUGCGAAGGCAGGUAACUAAGUCAUAACUGACGCUGAGGCA